GAUGAACGCUGGCGGCGUGCUUAACACAUGCAAGUCGAACGGAAAGGCUCCUGCUUGCAGGGGUACUCGAGUGGCGAACGGGUGAGUAACACGUGGGUGAUCUGCCCAGCACUUCGGGAUAAGCCUGGGAAACUGGGUCUAAUACCGGAUAGGACGAUGGUUUGGAUGCCAUUGUGGAAAGUUUUUUCGGUGUGGGAUGAGCUCGCGGCCUAUCAGCUUGUUGGUGGGGUAAUGGCCUACCAAGGCGUCGACGGGAAGCCGGCCUGAGAGGGUGUACGGCCACAUUGGCACUGAGAUACGGCCCAGACUCCUACGGGAGGCAGCAGUGGGGAAUAUUGCACAAUGGGCGCAAGCCUGAUGCAGCGACGCCGCGUGGGGGAUGACGGCCUUCGGGUUGUAAACUCCUUUCGCUAGGGACGAAGCGCAAGUGACGGUACCUGGAGAAGAAGCACCGGCUAACUACGUG
rnacentral:rRNA from 1 species